rnacentral:rRNA from 1 species
AUUGAACGCUGGCGGCAUGCCUUACACAUGCAAGUCGAACGGCAGCACGGACUUCGGUCUGGUGGCGAGUGGCGAACGGGUGAGUAAUGUAUCGGAACGUACCUUUCAGUGGGGAUAACGUAGCGAAAGUUACGCUAAUACCGCAUAUUCUGUGAGCAGGAAAGCAGGGGAUCGAAAGACCUUGCGCUGAUUGAGCGGCCGAUAUCAGAUUAGCUAGUUGGUGGGGUAAAGGCCUACCAAGGCGACGAUCUGUAGCGGGUCUGAGAGGAUGAUCCGCCACACUGGAACUGAGACACGGUCCAGACUCCUACGGGAGGCAGCAGUGGGGAAUUUUGGACAAUGGGGGCAACCCUGAUCCAGCCAUGCCGCGUGAGUGAAGAAGGCCUUCGGGUUGUAAAGCUCUUUCGGCCGGGAAGAAAUCGCAUAGGCUAAUACCCUGUGUGGAUGACGGUACCGGAAGAAGAAGCACCGGCUAACUACGUG